UACGAAGGGUGCAAGCGUUACUCGGAAUUACUGGGCGUAAAGCGUGCGUAGACGGCUAUCUAAGUCGGGUGUGAAAGCCCCGGGCUCAACCUGGGAAUUGCAUUCGAGACUGAAUAGCUAGGGUACGGUAGAGGGAAGCGGAAUUUCCGGUGUAGCGGUGAAAUGCGUAGAUAUCGGAAGGAACAUCAGUGGCGAAAGCGGCUUCCUGGACCAGUACCGACGUUCAGGCACGAAAGCGUGGGGAGCAAACAGG
rnacentral:rRNA from 1 species